rnacentral:lncRNA from 1 species
UAAUAAAGGACAAUCUAGUGCACAAAACAUUCCGCAUUAGCAAGGUCCGAGAUGAGCCGGCCGUACUUCAAAAGGUAUGAUGUAAACACCCUCCCUAGUGCAAGCAUUAGUAUUUGCUUCCACGGCUUGAUCAAACUUGUGACUAUAGGUCACACGACACGACGACAACUUUACCGUUGCUCCAGGACUCCAAUCUCAUUCAAAAGUAGCACUCAAAGCACACACAAAAUCACCACUUGAAAUAGGUAUGAUGUAGACAUCUAACCUAGUGCAGGCAUUAGUAGUUGCUUCCACGGCUCAAACUCGUGACUAUAGGUCACACGACACGACGACAACUUUAUCGUUGCUCCAAGACUCCAGUCCCAUUCAAAAGUAGCACUCAUAAUGCACACACAAAAUCACCACUUGUGUCAAUUUCAUCAUCUAAAUCAGCAUCAGUAUCAAAAUCAUCAAGAUCCAUACUAA